rnacentral:rRNA from 1 species
CGUAGGGUGCGAGCGUUGUCCGGAAUUAUUGGGCGUAAAGGGCUCGUAGGCGGUUUGUCACGUCGGGAGUGAAAACUCGGGGCUUAACCCCGAGCCUGCUUCCGAUACGGGCAGACUAGAGGUAUGCAGGGGAGAACGGAAUUCCUGGUGUAGCGGUGAAAUGCGCAGAUAUCAGGAGGAACACCGGUGGCGAAGGCGGUUCUCUGGGCAUUACCUGACGCUGAGGAGCGAAAGUGUGGGGAGCGAACAGGAUUAGAUACCCUGGUAGUCCACACCGUAAACGUUGGGCGCUAGGUGUGGGACUCAUUCCACGAGUUCCGUGCCGCAGCUAACGCAUUAAGCGCCCCGCCUGGGGAGUACGGCCGCAAGGCUA